UACGGAGGGGGCUAGCGUUGUUCGGAAUUACUGGGCGUAAAGCGCACGUAGGCGGAUUGGUCAGUUAGGGGUGAAAUCCCAGAGCUCAACUCUGGAACUGCCCUUAAUACUGCCAGUCUAGAGUCCGGAAGAGGUAAGUGGAACUCCUAGUGUAGAGGUGGAAUUCGUAGAUAUUAGGAAGAACACCAGUGGCGAAGGCGGCUUACUGGUCCGGUACUGACGCUGAGGUGCGAAAGCGUGGGGAGCAAACAGG
rnacentral:rRNA from 1 species